rnacentral:rRNA from 1 species
GAUGAACGCUGGCGGCGUGCCUAAUACAUGCAAGUCGAGCGAACAGACGAGGAGCUUGCUCCUCUGACGUUAGCGGCGGACGGGUGAGUAACACGUGGAUAACCUACCUAUAAGACUGGGAUAACUUCGGGAAACCGGAGCUAAUACCGGAUAAUAUAUUGAACCGCAUGGUUCAAUAGUGAAAGACGGCUUUGCUGUCACUUAUCGAUGGAUCCGCGCCGCAUUAGCUAGUUGGUAAGGUAACGGCUUACCAAGGCAACGAUGCGUAGCCGACGGGAGAGAGGGAUAGGCCGCCUGGGAGCGGAGACAGGGUCAUGGGUCCUGCGGGAGGCAGCAGUAGGGAAUCUGCCGCAGUGGGCGAAAGCAUGACGGAGCGGCGCGGCGUGAGUGAUGACGGUCUUCGGUGCGUGAAACUGUGUUAUUAGGGAAGAACAAAUGUGUAAGUAACUAUGCACGUCUUGACGGUACCUAAUCAGAAAGCCACGGCUAACUACGUG